AAGCGGCUGAAUUGAUUCUUCGGAUGAUUUUCAGUUGACUGAGCGGCGGACGGGUGAGUAACGCGUGGGUGACCUGCCCCAUACCGGGGGAUAACAGCUGGAAACGGCUGCUAAUACCGCAUAAGCGCACAGAGCUGCAUGGCUCGGUGUGAAAAACUCCGGUGGUAUGGGAUGGGCCCGCGUCUGAUUAGGCAGUUGGCGGGGUAACGGCCCACCAAACCGACGAUCAGUAGCCGGCCUGAGAGGGCGACCGGCCACAUUGGGACUGAGACACGGCCCAAACUCCUACGGGAGGCAGCAGUGGGGAAUAUUGCACAAUGGGGGAAACCCUGAUGCAGCGACGCCGCGUGAGCGAAGAAGUAUUUCGGUAUGUAAAGCUCUAUCAGCAGGGAAGAUAAUGACGGUACCUGACUAAGAAGCCCCGGCUAACUACGUGCCAGCAGCCGCGGUAAUACGUAGGGGGCAAGCGUUAUCCGGAUUUACUGGGUGUAAAGGGAGCGUAGACGGCAAGGCAAGUCUGAUGUGAAAACCCAGGGCUUAACCCUGGGACUGCAUUGGAAACUGUCUGGCUCGAGUGCCGGAGAGGUAAGCGGAAUUCCUAGUGUAGCGGUGAAAUGCGUAGAUAUUAGGAAGAACACCAGUGGCGAANGCGGCUUACUGGACGGUAACUGACGUUGAGGCUCGNAAGCGUGGGGAGCAAACA
rnacentral:rRNA from 1 species